UGGCUCAGGACGAACGCUGGCGGCGUGCUUAACACAUGCAAGUUGAACGGUAUGACAUGGAAGCUUGCUGAAGUGUCAUAUAGUAGCGGACGGGUGAGUAAUGCAUGAGAAGCUGCCAUUGGGAGGGGGACAACAGUUGGAAACGGCUGCUAAUACCCCGUAUGCCGGAGGGUGAAAGGGAGUAAUCCGCCCGAUGAGGUGCUCAUGUCCUAUCAGCUGGUUGGUGGGGUAACGGCCUACCAAGGCGACGACGGGUAGCCGGCCUGAGAGGGUGAACGGCCACACUGGAACUGAGAUACGGUCCAGACUCCUACGGGAGGCAGCAGUGGGGAAUAUUUGGGGCAAUGGGGGCAACCCUGACCCAGCGACGCCGCGUGGGGGAAGACGGCCUUCGGGUUGUAAACCUCUUUUGUACGGGAAGAAGGAAGUGACGGUACUGUACGAAUAAGUCCCGGCUAACUACGUGCCAGCCGCCGC
rnacentral:rRNA from 1 species